AUGCACGCUGGCGGCGUGCCUAAUACAUGCAAGUCGAGCGAACAGAUGAGGAGCUUGCUCCUCUGACGUUAGCGGCGGACGGGUGAGUAACACGUGGAUAACCUACCUAUAAGACUGGGAUAACUUCGGGAAACCGGAGCUAAUACCGGAUAAUAUAUUGAACCGCAUGGUUCAAUAGUGAAAGACGGUUUUGCUGUCACUUAUAGAUGGAUCCGCGCCGCAUUAGCUAGUUGGUAAGGUAACGGCUUACCAAGGCGACGAUGCGUAGCCGACCUGAGAGGGUGAUCGGCCACACUGGAACUGAGACACGGUCCAGACUCCUACGGGAGGCAGCAGUAGGGAAUCUUCCGCAAUGGGCGAAAGCCUGACGGAGCAACGCCGCGUGAGUGAUGAAGGUCUUCGGAUCGUAAAACUCUGUUAUUAGGGAAGAACAAAUGUGUAAGUAACUAUGCACGUCUUGACGGUACCUAAUCAGAAAGCCACGGCUAACUACGUG
rnacentral:rRNA from 1 species